rnacentral:rRNA from 1 species
UACGUAGGGGGCAAGCGUUGUCCGGAUUUAUUGGGCGUAAAGAGCGUGUAGGCGGCCAGAUAGGUCCGUUGUGAAAACUGGAGGCUUAACCUCCAGCGGUCGAUGGAAACCAUUUGGCUAGAGUCCGGAAGAGGAGAGUGGAAUUCCCGGUGUAGUGGUAGAAUGCGUAGAUAUCGGGAGGAACACCAGUGGCGAAGGCGGUUACCUGGAGCUUUGCUGACGCUGAUGCGCGAAAGCGUGGGGAGCGAUCCGG